ACGAACGCUGGCGGCGUGCCUAACACAUGCAAGUCGAACGGGGGUAGCAAUACCCCAGUGGCGAACGGGUGCGUAACACGUGAGGAACUUGUCCAUCGGCGGGGGAUAGCCGGCCCAACGGCCGGGUAAUACCGCGUACGUCGGCGGGAUCGCAUGGUCCUGCCGGGAAAGCAGCAAUGCACCGAUGGAGAGCCUCGCGGCCUAUCAGCUAGUUGGUGAGGUAAUGGCUCACCAAGGCGACGACGGGUAGCUGGUCUGAGAGGAUGAUCAGCCACAUUGGGACUGAGACACGGCCCAGACUCCUACGGGAGGCAGCAGUGGGGAAUAUUGCGCAAUGGGCGAAAGCCUGACGCAGCGACGCCGCGUGUGGGAUGACGGCCUUCGGGUUGUAAACCACUGUCGCGAGGGACGAAGAUCUGACGGUACCUCGAAAGGAAGCACCGGCUAACUCUGU
rnacentral:rRNA from 1 species